UGGGGGAUAUUGCACAAUGGGCGAAAGCCUGAUGCAGCGACGCCGCGUGGGGGAUGAAGGCCUUCGGGUUGUAAACCUCUUUCGCUAUCGAACAAGGCCCGCUUAGGGUGGGUUGAGGGUAGGUGGAGAAGAAGCGCCGGCUAACUACGUGCCAGCAGCCGCGGUAAUACGUAGGGGGCGAGCGUUGUCCGGAAUUAUUGGGCGUAAAGGGCUUGUAGGCGGCUUGUUGCGCCUGCUGUGAAAACGCGGGGCUUAACUUCGGGCGUGCGGUGGGUACGGGCAGGCUUGAGUGUGGUAGGGGUGACUGGAAUUCCAGGUGUAGCGGUGGAAUGCGCAGAUAUCUGGAGGAGCACCGAUGGCGAAGGCAGGUCACUGGUCCAUUACUGACGCUGAGGAGCGAAAGCAUGGGUAGCGAACAGG
rnacentral:rRNA from 1 species